rnacentral:tRNA from 2 species
GCCCCUAUCGUCUAGUGGUCUAGGACACAUGAUUUUCAAUCAUGCGACACGAGUUCAACUCUCGUUGGGGGCGCCA